rnacentral:rRNA from 1 species
GUUGACCUCGGAUCAGGUAGGGAUACCCGCUGAACUUAAGCAUAUCAAUAAGCGGAGGAAAAGAAACCAACAGGGAUUGCCCCAGUAACGGCGAGUGAAGCGGCAAGAGCUCAAAUUUGAAAUCUGGUCUCCCCCGGGGGCCCGAGUUGUAAUUUGCAGAGGAUGCUUCGGGUGCGGCCGCCGUCUAA